rnacentral:tRNA from 1 species
UGAUAAUUAGUUUAACACAAAACAAAUGAUUUCGACUCAUUAGAUUAUGAUAAUACACAUAAUUAUCAA